UUGCACGAAACACGCGCAUGCGUGUAGAAAAUUCGUAAAAUCACGACCUGAUGCAAUGAUUAAUUGCUUUUCCUACGAUUCUAUGAAUUUUUUCGUCCUGUACUACUAGUUCAAUUCAUUAUCGAUAAUAGAGUAAAUAAUACCGUGCGAGUUUUUGAGAUAAGCAGAGAUAAGUGGUCGUGCUUUGGAAUUUGUAAUACAUACUUAAGUUUGAGAAUGGCGAAAUUUGUAAAAUUUACAAAAUUAAGGUCUUCUACGGAUAGCACCUUCUGGGCAAAAUUUGUGGAAUUGAAGAUUGACAAAUUCAAACUUGAUGAGAAAAGUGUCAAUCUAUGGGGAAAUUACAGUCUCCAAUCGUUAAAUGAAAACAAUAACAAUCCAUUGGUGUUGGAUUUCACAUCGUUCAAUGAAGAUUUGGAGAUAUUAAAUAAUAAUUCAUCGGUUCUCUGCUUUGGACAUAUGAUUAAUACAAAUACUUUUGAAGCAUUUCGUCAAAUUAAUCCUGAACAAUUCAUCAAUUCCAUGGGAAAGGAUAUUAUAAAUAAUAUUCAAGAUGGAACAGUAUUGCAAAACCCAUGGAAAUUGUCAUUGUUUUUAGUCUUGGCUUAUUCAGAUUUAAAAAAAUAUAAAUUUUAUUAUUGGGUUGCACAUCCCACUCCAUUGAAAUUACCUGAAAUGUAUUAUCAAGAAUCUCCACAAUCAAUUAAUGAAGAAUUCACAGCCAGACAAGUAGAAGAUUUGUGUCAACAUUUCUUACAAUUAGAUAGCAGGACAAAAAGUUAUUUUACAGUUUCAAUAUCAAAAGAAGGUAAACUGAGCAUUAUUGACUUGGCAACAGGAGUAGAAACAAUUAAUGCAAGGGAAAAGCAAUCACAAGAAUAUAGUGAAAUAUAUUUUGCAUUUUAUGACCCAUGUACGACUUCCAAUCCAGGUUGGCCUUUACGUAAUCUUUUAUGCCUUUUAUGUUGGCAUUGUCCUAUAUAUUAUUUUUCAAAAAUCAUUAAAUUCAUAUCCAUACGAGGGAAUAAAGCACAGAAAAGUAUUGUUUUUAAACUUAAGACCAAAGAAUAUGAAAAUUAUAAAGACAUAAGAGAUGCUCUAUUUAUGAGUCAUCUGGUGGGUUGGGAAAGCAACUCAAAUGAUAAAUUGGGUCCCACCAUAGUUAAUUUAUCUGAUACAAUGGAUCCAGCCAAAUUGUCAGACAGAGCUAUCAAUCUGAACUUGAAGCUAAUGAAAUGGCGUCUUGCUCCUGACCUAGAUUUAGAAAAGAUCUGUAAUCUUAAGUGUCUUUUAUUAGGCGCUGGAACCUUAGGUUGUUCCGUAGCAAGAGUUCUCCUAGGUUGGGGAGUUAAUAACAUAACUUUCGUCGAUAGCUCCAACGUAUCUCAUAGCAACACAGUGCGACAAAGUUUGUACAGUCACCAAGAUGCUGUGAAGCAUAAGUAUAAAGCAUAUGCUGCUAAGGACGCUCUAUUGAACAUUCGACCGAGCAUAAAUGCAGAAGGUGUAGUUUUACACAUUCCAAUGCCCGGGCAUGUUGUUGGUAAAAGUAUGCUGGAUUCUACGAAGCAGUCCCUGGAAAAAUUGGAAGAACUUGUCGAGAACAACGACGUUGUCUUUCUUCUAUUGGAUUCUCGAGAGGCUAGGUGGCUACCUACGGUUCUCUGCGCUGCUAAGAACAAGAUUGCUAUCAAUGCAGCCUUGGGUUUUGAUUCUUAUACAGUACAGAGGCACGGUACUCGAAAUUUUACUAGUCCAGCUUCACCAGACUUGGAUGCUAGGAAUCCCCGCGGUAUGGACCUCGGUUGCUAUUUUUGUAACGAUGUAACACAGCCUGGAAAUUCACAAACUGACAGAACAUUGGACCAGCAAUGCACAGUUAGCAGGCCGGGUUUAUCACAGAUUGCAGCAGGACUAGCAGUCGAGUUAUUGGUAGCUUUGUUGCAGCACUCUCAAGGAAUCGAGGCAGAAGCGUUGGUGGGUAACAGCAGAGAUAAUAUUAGCCCAAGCGAUACAGAAUUGGUAGGCUUGCUGGGAUGUAUACCGCAUACGAUACGAGGUUCCCUGUGGAAUUACGAUACUCAGUUAACGAUUACUCAUAGAUUUACAUCCUGCACAGCUUGCUCUGUGCCUAUUAUCGCGGAAUAUAAAAAUCGGGGUUUAUCUUUUGUUUUGGACGCGUGUAAUAUACCGAAUUAUUUAGAAAAAUUAUCAGGACUGGAGCAAAUACUUAAAAGGCCCGAUUUAGAUGAGCUUUGUUACGCGUUGGAUAGCAUAAGCGAUGAGGAUGAGGAUGAUGGAAAUGAUGUGAUACCUUAAAUAUGCGAAUUUUUCUCUUUAACAAAGUUCUAGUUCUUGUAAUACAAUAUUUAAAGAAUUCAAUUUUAGCACAUAAAAAGCAUUGGAAGAAUUUAUAAUCUAAUAUCCAUAUCCGUUAAUUGCAAUCGCUUUAUUUUAAUUUUUUUUAUCAUUAUGUUGACAUUUGACAUUAAUGUAUGUCAAAAUCUCAUUACAAGAUAUGUCUUAUUACGCACAUGACUUGUGUAUACAGAUUUUACGCAAAUAUUAGAAGAGUAUACAAGAGGUUACGCCUCUGAAUUUGUUUUUAACGCUAAAUGUGUUGAAUAAAACAUUUGAAUUGCCUGAAAACUAAAAGAAAGACAGGCUAAUUGAAACUUAAGCUCAACUUUAAAAGAAAUCUAAGAAAAAUUUGCCCUUCAAAAAUUUUGUUUACUAAGAAAAAAUUAUAUGAAAUUGUAGGCAUAAUUGUUGGAGGGAAAAGAGGGAGUUUGAAUUGUAUUUAUACGGUCGGCGUGGCGCGCGUUUGUGCCUUUGGCAAUCUUCCCGCUAGAGAGCGCUUCGACGGACGAAUACCAGACAUUCCAGCGUAAUGUUUAAGUAGUGGGGAAUCGAGGCUGGCUCUCGUGUGUCAAAGAGCCUGUGUUCCUUGUGUGUUCGACCGCAUACCAUUAGAUUUUCCAUCGUUUUCAAUGAAAAUACGUACUGUGCGUUGGCUCGACGUGCCAGCGGACGUCGUGCCGGAUGUUUGAUCCUCUGUUCGUCAGCUUGUCAAUGCAGAAACAUCGAAAUGAAAUUGCGACGCCGGUUGCGUGGAAGUUUGGAAAGAGAGCAGGAGGCGCGAUAUGAGAGUAAGAAGAGGAAAACACUGUGACUAGUAAUAGCUUUGAGUAUGCCUACAUAAUUCGGAGUUAUCGCUGUACAAACAUACGCACGAGUAUCACCGAUCAAGUAACUCUUAAUAUCUUCUUAGCGUUUAUAUCCUUAAAUAAAGCUU